AUGUCCCGCCCAGUCACACAAUUAACUUCCGCUGGCGUGGACGCUGAGUCAGGAGACCGGAUAUGACGUUUGGAGCGACAUUGUUUGAUGAGGGAGUCUUUCUUUUUCUAACUUGUUUCCGUUUUGACUGAGUCUUUGCAGCCACUGCACUACUGACCGGAAGUCACUUUCUAGUUGGUAGCUAACGCGCAGGGUUUGGGUCUGAGGUGGCUUGUAGAGCUUUGACGGCGAUACAUUCCUCAACUUUCCAGAUGUGUUGCUGUCUCAUGGGUUGGAAAGGAGACGCCCUGAGGCAAUGGCUGGUACAUGAAGAACUGUGUAACCCUGGCUGUAACUAGCUCUGUGGAGCAGGCUGCUCUUGAACUCAAAGAUCACCUGGCUCUUGCCCCCCCAAGUGCUGGGACUAAAGAAUUGCGUUCUGUAGUCUCCAGAUACCUUCUAAGCCUUGUGUGAUGGCUGAAGCAUGUAACUCCUGCUUACCUGAGUCCUCUGUUUCACUUCAUCUUGGACACACGGGCCAAAGAACUGCCAUGAAUGUCAAGCCAACAGGGAUGCAGUAUGAGACCCUGUUGUUGUUGUUGGUUUUUUUAAUUUUAUAUUUCUAAUUCUGGCAUAGAAUAAACAGCAGAAGUAUACA